CGGGGCAUAGCUCAGCCUGGUUAGAGCGCACGGUUCGGGACCGUGAGGUCGGAGGUUCAAAUCCUCUUGCCCCGACCA
rnacentral:tRNA from 3 species